UACAGAGGGGGGCAAGCGUUGUUCGGAAUUACUGGGCGUAAAGGGCUCGUAGGUGGCCAACUAAGUCCGACGUGAAAUCCCCAGCUUAACCUGGGAACUGCGUCGGAUACUGGAUGGCUUGAAUCCGGGAGAGGGAUGCGGAAUUCCAGGUGUAGCGGUGAAAUGCGUAGAUAUCGAGAGGAACACCUGCGGCGAAGGCGGGUUGCUGGGCUGAUGACUGACGCUGAGGCGCGAAAGCUAGGGGAGCGAACGGG
rnacentral:rRNA from 1 species